rnacentral:lncRNA from 1 species
AUACAAUGAAUUUUGCAAAUUAUAGUUCUAUGUGAUUUAUUUCAUUUUUAGCUUCAAUUGGAGCUUUUCUUUUUCUUUUUCUUUUCUUUUUUUCUUUUUGGUUGCCGUGUUCACUGAGUCAGUCAGCCUUCACCUUGGAGAAAGCGGGCUUUAAAAACUACGUCACAGGGUUUUGUAUUUAGAGAAAAGUUAUAUGCUAGUGUUUUCAAUGGCAUGUUAUUGUCUUGAUGAGAAUAUAGAAAACACCCGUCAUUACUCGGAGAUGGGAUUUGAAGACACAGAUUCCCUUUCUACCAUCUCCAAGUCCCUUGAGCCCGGUCUCACUGUUUCCUUCACCUACUUUCCCACCUGAGUGAUUCACGUGGGAGACAGAAAGCAUUGCCUUUAGGCUUCUCCCCCUAUUUAUUCCCCAUCUUCAACUUCUUGUCAAGAUAAAUUACGCUAAAUUCAUUAAAAAUGAGUAAAAGGUUUUCUCCAAAGUUAAAACUGGGGAUUGAUUUGGAUAUUGGAUGGAGGAAUAUCUAUCAGAAAAAUUCCAACAAAGUUUGUGAGUCGUCCUUUUGAAUAGGAGAUAGGAAACCCUGGCCCCCUGUUCUGCCCGCCCAGUUCCUUCAGGAUCUGCACAACCCCCACCUGUCCCUGAGGCCACCUGACACCUGGGUCCUUGUCCCUCUGCCCUGAGACUGACUGUUUGGCCAGGGGACCUCUCCUAUCCCCAAACUCCUGGUCUUGGUUUUUGGAGAGGAGGGGGUUUCCUGAAGUUCACUGUGCAGCCAUACUGAAGGCUGGUGACCAGGCAAGACUGGAGGAAGGCAAGCAAAUGGAAAGGGACCGUCUCUGAGGGGACUGCCGGCUGCUAGCCAAACAGACGGCACUCCUGCGUGGGGCUCAUGAAGACCCAUGUUUAUAAGUGAAGUAAAGCCCAG